UACGUAGGGUGCGAGCGUUAAUCGGAAUUACUGGGCGUAAAGCGUGCGCAGGCGGUUCGUUGUGUCGGCGGGGAAAGCCCCGGGCUUAACCUGGGAAUGGCCGUUGAAACUGGCGAACUGGAGUGUGGCAGAGGGGGGUGGAAUUCCGCGUGUAGCAGUGAAAUGCGUAGAGAUGCGGAGGAACACCGAUGGCGAAGGCAGCCCCCUGGGCUAACACUGACGCUCAGGCACGAAAGCGUGGGGAGCAAACAGG
rnacentral:rRNA from 1 species